rnacentral:rRNA from 1 species
ACGAACGCUGGCGGCGUGCUUAACACAUGCAAGUCGAACGGAAAGGCCCUGCUUUUGUGGGGUGCUCGAGUGGCGAACGGGUGAGUAACACGUGAGUAACCUGCCCUUGACUUUGGGAUAACUUCAGGAAACUGGGGCUAAUACCGGAUAGGAGCUCCUGCUGCAUGGUGGGGGUUGGAAAGUUUCGGCAGUUGGGGAUGGACUCGCGGCUUAUCAGCUUGUUGGUGGGGUAGUGGCUUACCAAGGCUUUGACGGGUAGCCGGCCUGAGAGGGUGACCGGCCACAUUGGGACUGAGAUACGGCCCAGACUCCUACGGGAGGCAGCAGUGGGGAAUAUUGCACAAUGGGCGGAAGCCUGAUGCAGCAACGCCGCGUGCGGGAUGACGGCCUUCGGGUUGUAAACCGCUUUCGCCUGUGACGAAGCGUGAGUGACGGUAAUGGGUAAAGAAGCACCGGCUAACUACGUG